UACGUAGGGGGCAAGCGUUGUCCGGAAUCAUUGGGCGUAAAGAGCGCGUAGGCGGCCCAGUAAGUCCGCUCUGAAAGUCAGGGGGCUCAACCCCUGGAUGCGGGUGGAUACUGCUGGGCUAGAGUCCGGAAGAGGUGAGUGGAAUUCCUGGUGUAGCGGUGAAAUGCGCAGAUAUCAGGAGGAACACCAAUAGCGAAGGCAGCUCGCUGGGACGUUACUGACACUGAGGCGCGAAAGCGUGGGGAGCGAACAGG
rnacentral:rRNA from 1 species